rnacentral:lncRNA from 1 species
UUUUUUUUUUUUUUUUUUUACAAUGUGAUUUUUUCCCCCACUGCCAUUCUUUAGAAAGUCUGUUAUUAGGGCUAGGUUCCUAGGGUCUCUCUGGGCUUCAGUGAGAAUCCUUUUGUAGGAGAACAAUGGAUGAAAAACACCACAUAACCACAAAAGCAAAGGCUUAUCUGACUUUGGACUCUACCUUAGGAUGGUAGACUGAGGUUUAAAUGCACACCUCAUAGGAAGAGGCUUGUUGUUGAUAAGGCUUUCCCUGGGUGUAUAUCUGACAAUAUAACCUUGCUACUACUGAGUGGAAUGUUUGGAAAGUGGUACUCUCCCAGACAAACUUCAGUUUCUUCCAUUGGCUGUUUGUUGCUUCCUCCUUCUAAUCAAAUGGCCCCUCCUUUCUCUUCCCUCACCACCUCCUUCAAGUCUAAAGCCAUCAAUCCAUGUAUUUAAAUAUCCUUGGAAACUGAAAGUAAUCUAGAAGGUCAUUAGCAUAUUGUUAUAAAUGUUAAUGGCCUGACACCAAGGAUGGGCCUUUUCUUUUAUGGGUGUUGUUGUGAACAUUAUGAGUGUAAAUGGGGAAAAUCUUCCCCAUUCAGCGCACAACCCUAGCCCUUCAUUCAAGUGUCAGGAGCCCAUUGUGUGCACCAACCUCAUCAGAGGCUGGGGGCUGUUCAGUGGCAGCAGCUUGCCUUUGAGUGCUGGGAAGAGAGCUGUCGGGAUGAGGGAAAGACAGGAUCAGGCAGCCAGGUGGUGGCCAACUGGCCAGUAACUGACAGACAAUUUAACCUAACCAGCCCGUACAGUCAGGCCCGCGUUACAAAAGACCCACAUGUGUCCUUAGCAAGCUUCAUUAAGUCUUUUGGCUGGAGCAAUACUCCUCUGACAUAUUAAUUAGUUGCAAUGCUUUCUCUUGCUCCAACUUUACCUUCCCAUUGGCCACUCGAUUCGAGUGGAUCCAUUGAGAACUAUUAGAAUAAUAUGUAUGCAAAGUUGCUGGAAAAAAUAUGGUUGGAAGAGGAAGAAAAUGAUCCCUCACUGAAAUGAUUUCAUAUGAAACUCUAAUGAUAAAAAGGAAAUAAGCGGCUUCUCAUAUCAUUGACACAAUGCUAAUAAAAAAGGACAUGUCAAGUGGAUGGAUGGCCAGGAGUAGGGGCCCUCUCUCCUUAUGUCACAUUGACAAUACAGCAAAAUACUUCAGGACAUACUUUUAAACUUUUCAGAUUCUCUCCAUGGAACAGAAUAAUUGGAAUUAGAAAUUGAUUCAGCAUUUCAAGUACAUUUUAGAAAUUAAAAAAAUGCUAAAGGUGGUAUAUAUAUAUAUGCAUACACAUACGUACACACACAGUUUAAAAGUGGAGAAAGUACAAAAUAUUAAGAAUUUGUGUUUCAUAAAUGCACAAUUUGUAUCUUAGUUAAUCUUAGAUACAAAUUGUGCAUGUAUGAAACAUAUAUUUGAUUUAAGAUUUAUGUUUUUGCACUGACUAAAGUUAUGAGAAGAUUUUUAAAACUCUUUAUUAAUUCACAUUUAAUAAUCAAGAGUUGUAUCAUGUUAACUCUGAUUUAUAGAUGUAGCAAGUACUGAAUUUAACAAUCGAUAAACCCAGCUUAGAUCUUUUGCAUAUAGAAUAUUUCUUAGCAGAGGUUGUCCAGAAGAAAGCAGUUUAGAAAAUCCUAAAAGACGAAAACAAUGCAUCAUAUGUGUUCACUGCCAGUAAUUAAUUAGAUUCAGAGACAAUACUUUCCACCUCUCCACACCACUCCGAUGUCAUGUCCAUUAUGAAAGCAGUUUCAGUCUUAGUAUAUUAUCUUAUAUCUAGUGAUAUGUCUACUGAAACAAUUUUAUGUUCUAGUGAUAUUUGGCUCAAUGUCAUAAAAGAUAAUUUGUAAGAACAGCCUCUUAGUGGUGUAGUUGUAAAACAUGAAUUAUACUAACUCUAAAGUGAAUAGCUUUAAAAUUAAGUUUUUAAUCUUUUAAAAAUUCAUUGUAAGAGAGGAAAAAACUCCUUACAGAUCAUCUUGAGACUUAGCUCUGUUCCUAUUUCUCUUUAUUUUUUAAUUAGCAUACAAAGUAUUAUAUAUCAUUAUUCCAGUUUUGAACAUAGUGUCUCCUCCCUCCCCUAUCACCUUGCUUUCCCUUUGUAGAAAAUAUAAUCACUGGGCAGUUAUCAUUGGCACUGCAAUCAUUUUUAUUUCAAAUUAUAUUUUAUUUGCUUAAGUAUUCAAGAAUAUUCCACUGAGGCAAAUUAUGCAUUAAAUAUCUGUGGAUCUUAGGCUUCGGUAAAAUAGAUGUUCUCAGAAGUAGCUGUUUCAAAAUAUACACAACAUUUCAAUAAAUAUAUCAAUAUUUGUCCAGUGAUACAUGGGGCUUCUUCCUGAUUAACAAGCAGCCAGAGUCAUGCUGAUCAAGCAAAAUAUGUGGACAAGUAUAUUGUAAGUAUUACAUUAUUAUAUUUAGUAACAAAUUGCGAGCAUUCACAGCUCCAUGGUAGGAGCUUGCGAUCUGUUGUCAGACGGUGUCUAAGUCCAGUUUUUUAAAUCAAAUUUUAAAGAGCAUAUGCAUGCAAGUAAUUUCAAUAUUGUCUUAGAUAGUAAAGUUCCAUUAAGAUUGAGUUAUUCCAGUCGAUCUUUCUUCAGACAAAACAAACAAACAAACAAAAAAAAACAAAACCAUUUCUGCCUUGAAUGCGAGUCAGAACGAUUACCUUUAAUUACAUGUUUAUAAAUAAAAGAUACUCGUGUGUUUAUGAAAUGCUUUUCCUUCUACUUUUACUACGUAUCAAGUUAAAUUAUAAACAUCAAAUGCAAUGUCAGCAGAGGUAAAUCAUUACAAAAGCAAGGUACUUUGAAACACAUAGACUGGUUAAUUUCACUAAAUACAUAUAAUUAUAGAUAUUUAUGGAUUUUGAUAUAUUUAUUUGUUUUACUUGUUUGUUUUGACACCCCCCACCUGCUCCCAUGUGUGUGUGUGUGUAUGUGUGUGUGUGUGGUAUAUUUGUGCACUGGUGCCUCAAUACACAGGAAGAGGUCAGAAAACAAUGGUAAGACUCCACCCUCUCCUUCAAUUGUGUGGAUGUUUCAGACAGGCUUAUGAUAUUAGUCUUGGCCUCCAAACAUGAAGAAUUUCAUUAUCAAGUACAGUUUCAAUAUGUAUAUUAAUUAGGGCUUCUAUUUUUAUAGCUGAAACAUCAUGACCAAAAGAACCUUGGUGAUGAACGGGCUUAUUUCAUGUCUACUUCCAUGUCGCUGUCUAUAUUUGAAGGAAAUCGUGGCAGAGAUCUGGAUACAGGAACUAAUACAGAAGCCAUGGAGGAAUGCUGCUUAGUGGCUUGCUCUCCGCAUUCUUAUUUCUAAGUCUCCAAAGAGCAGAUCACUAUUAAGCUUUGAGUACUCUCAAUGCCUUUUCCAGCCCAAAGUUGAAAUGUCACCACAAUCCUCUCCAAAACACGUGUCUCUCAUAGUAAGAAGGACAGUGGAGCAAAAAGCAUGAAUAAACCUCUUUCUGAAAUACACCGUUUUAUCUGGGAUCCUACCAAAAUGUGCAGCCCACAUUUUGAUGUGUUAGGGACCUCCCACAACUAUAAGGUCAAUUUUUAAGGGAUGCUUCUAAUUCAGGAGAUUCUAACGUUGAAACCAACUCUAAUAUUAUAUUAAUUUGAUUAGAGGUAUGUAUAAAUAAUAUUACCUGUUCAUGCAUUGUCAAAAAUGUUUUAUGCUUAAAUAGUGUUUGCUGUGUAUAUGUGUAUAGCCUAAAAGUCAAAGGAAAAAAAAACACCUAUCUUCUGAUGCCCCCACCCCAACUUAUUCCCUGAGCCAGGGUUUCACUGAACCUGAAGCUUGAUAUUUAAGACAGCACUGAACACAUAUGGCGCCCACAGUGCAGAGAAUUGCAAGUCAGGUCCCAUGUUUUCCCAGCAGGUGUUUUUCCUUAUGAAAACAUUUCCACACACCCCCUCAAAUAGUUUUAAAUUAAGUAAAGCUCUAAAAAUUUGAUGGCAUAAGGUUUUAUAAGGAAGAAACAGUGAUUCCACAACCCCCUCCCCCAGUUUGGCCCUGAACCUUUCACCUGAGGAAAUAAACAUGUGUUGGUUAUGUUUGGCAGUAGAAUGUUGUCUUUGAAAAUAUACCCCCUUUUUUGAAGAGAUCUAAAAUAAUACUUGAACAAAUUGGGUUUCACGUGCCAAUGUUGCGUAAUUUAAAGUGUAAAAAUAAUUGGUGUUUACAAGUAUAAUUUGCUCCAGGAAAAUUUGGAAGCACUUUAAGUUAGGAAAAUGUCAGUGUUUAAGUAUGUAUUUUAUAUCAGCCAUCUAGGUUGUGAGAUCCUUUCAGCGCUAGUCUAUUUUGUUCUUUGAGUAUAGUUGCAGUACGUAUGUGUAAUAUAAAAGCAUACCCUCGUUUUUAAGAACUGAUAAAUAUUUUAGUGUGUGAGUUCAUUUUGAACUUUGUUGAUAGGUUAGUAUACUUAGAUUUUUUUUCACUGAAUUAAUAAAACUCUGUUUUCAUUCUGUAGGUUUUUAAGACAAGUACUCCUAAAUAGUAGUUAACAAUACUAUUCCAUUUUCAAUACAAGAUUCAUAUAAAUAAAUAUUUUCUAGGGUAUAUCUCUCAUGUAAUAAUCUCUUGCUUUCUGAAGGAUUUCUAUUAUUCAUAUUGUUCUAUAGUCUUAGUCU